GACGAGGGGUCCUAGCGUUGUUCGGAAUCACUGGGCGUAAAGCGUAUGUAGGCGGCUUUUCAAGUCAGGUGUGGAAAUCCCAUGGCUUAACCAUGGAACUGCAUUGAAACUGUAAAGCUUGAGUAUUGGAGAGGAUGGUAGAAUUCCUGGUGUAGUGGUGAAAUACGUAGAUAUCAGGAGGAAUACCGGUGGCGAAAGGCGGCCAUCUGGCCAAAUACUGACGCUGAGAUACGAAAGUGUGGGGAUCAAAACAGG
rnacentral:rRNA from 1 species